UUACCGCCCAACUGUCCUAUAUCUCCCCCUUUUAGCCAAAAGCCCGAACAAACUUCAAGUCAGUUCGCUUGUUCUUGUCAUUUCUGAAUUUCUUUUUUCAUUUUCUUCUUCUUUUUCUCAAUUAUCCAUUUACUAUGAAAUUUUGAAUGAAUAUACAUAAACACGAGAGAAUAUUUCCUCAUCAAUUAUCCAGAAAAGAAAUGAAGAUGAAGAUAUCAAAAAAUAUGAUUCAAAUUAUUUAAAUACCGGUUAAAUGGGGAAAACGAGGAAGGAGAUGAAAAUGUGGGGAAUCAAUUUCUCGUCAACAAUUUUUCAGGAAAAUGAGAAAGGAGAUUACAAUGUGGGGAAUCGAAUUUUCGUCUACAAUUUUUCAGAAAAGGAAAAUGAGGAAGGAGAUUACGAUGUGGUGAAUCGAACUCUCGUCAUUAAUGUUUCAGGUGCAGGCACAGGUGGAUGCUAGAGCUACAGGAUCAAUGUUGUAGCUAUCCGGACGUCGAGCAUUCAUCCGGACAUGGUAGGCCCUCUUGCUUUAGAGGAUGCUUGCCCAUUUACAUUCUAGCUUAGUUGUUGAAUUGAGCUAGUGGAUUAUGUUCCACUAGCGUUUCUUUUCCGUUUUUUUCCAGACAUUGUAUUGGUGCCUUUUUUGCAAGUACA